AUACGUAGGGUGCAAGCGUUAAUCGGAAUUACUGGGCGUAAAGCGUGCGCAGGCGGUUAUAUAAGACAGUUGUGAAAUCCCCGGGCUCAACCUGGGAACUGCAUCUGUGACUGUAUAGCUAGAGUACGGUAGAGGGGGAUGGAAUUCCGCGUGUAGCAGUGAAAUGCGUAGAUAUGCGGAGGAACACCGAUGGCGAAGGCAAUCCCCUGGACCUGUACUGACGCUCAUGCACGAAAGCGUGGGGAGCAAACAGGAUUAGAUACCCUGGUAGUCCACGCCCUAAACGAUGUCAACUGGUUGUUGGGUCUUCACUGACUCAGUAACGAAGCUAACGCGUGAAGUUGACCGCCUGGGGAGUACGGCCGCAAGGUUGAA
rnacentral:rRNA from 1 species